GAUGAACGCUGGCGGCGUGCCUAAUACAUGCAAGUCGAGCGAACGGACGAGAAGCUUGCUUCUCUGAUGUUAGCGGCGGACGGGUGAGUAACACGUGGAUAACCUACCUAUAAGACUGGGAUAACUUCGGGAAACCGGAGCUAAUACCGGAUAAUAUUUUGAACCGCAUGGUUCAAAAGUGAAAGACGGGCUUGCUGUCACUUAUAGAUGGAUCCGCGCUGCAUUAGCUAGUUGGUAAGGUCACGGCUUACCAAGGCAACGAUGCAUAGCCGACCUGAGAGGGUGAUCGGCCACACUGGAACUGAGACACGGUCCAGACGCCUACGGGAGGCAGCAGUAGGGAAUCUUCCGCAAUGGGCGAAAGCCUGACGGAGCAACGCCGCGCGAGUGAUGAAGGUCUUCGGAUCGUAAAACUCUGUUAUUAGGGAAGAACAUAUGUGUAAGUAACUGUGCACAUCUUGACGGUACCUAAUCAGAAAGCCACGGCUAACUACGUG
rnacentral:rRNA from 1 species